AAACCAACAGGGAUUCCCUUAGUAACGGCGAGUGAACCGGGAAAAGCUCAAAUUUGAAAUCUGCCAACAGGCCGAGUUGUAAUUUGUAGAUGGCUACACUGCAUAAUAGUAGAUGCUCAAGUUCUUUGGAAAAAGACAUCAUGGAGGGUGACAAUCCCGUGAGGCAUGUUACUAGGAGCAUAUAGUGGGCUUUCUAAGAGUCGAGUUGUUUGGGAAUGCAGCUCAAAGUGCGUGGUGAAUACCAUGUAAAGCUAAAUAUGGACGAGAGACCGAUAGCGAACAAGUACUGUGAAGGAAAGAUGAAAAGCACUCCGAAAGGAGAGUGAAAUAGUACGUGAAAUUGUUAAAGUGGAAGGGCUUGAGAUCAGAAUUGGUAGUUUGGGUUCCACGUCCUCUUGGGGGCGUGUACUCCCUUUCCACCGGGCCAGCGGGAGUUUCGUCUCUUGGGUAAAAGCAGUGGAAUGUAGCAGCUUGUCUGUAUUAUAGCCUCUGUUCAUACAAGACGUCGAGACUUGAUUUGUUGGCGUAAUGAUCUCUAGNCACCCGUCUUGAAACACGGACCAAGGAGUCUAUUGCCUAUGCGAGUGUUUGGGUGGAAAACCCUUGCGCGUAAUGAAAGUGAAAAGAUCAGGGCUCUUUUUUGAGUGCACGAUCGACCGAUCUUGACGAUUUUCAGAUGGAUUUGAGUAAGAGCAUAGUUGAUGGGACCCGAAAGAUGGUGAACUAUACUUGGCGAGGGCGAAGCCAGAGGAAACUCUGGUGGAGGUCCGUAGGGGUUCUGACGUGCAAAUCGAUCCU
rnacentral:rRNA from 1 species